AUGCCCCUCAAAUUUUGGGACGAGGCUUUUCUUGCCGCUGUUCACAUCAUCAACAUGCUUCCUAGUCGUGUCAUUAAUCAUGAAACUCCGGUAGAAAGGCUCCUUCACAUCAAACCCGAUUAUACAUCACUUCGUGUCUUUGGGUGUGCAUGUUGGCCAAACCUUAGACCCUGCAACAAUCGUAAACUUAUGUUUCGCUCGAAACAGUGUGUCUUCUUGGGAUAUAGCCCUCAAUAUAAAGGAUUUAAGUGCAUUGAUGUCUCCACUGGACGAGUCUAUAUCUCUAGAGAUGUCGUGUUUGACGAGACAAAAUUUCCAUUUGCUGAUCUACAUCCAAACGCCGGUGCUCUUCUUCGCCAAGAAAUUCUCCUUUUGCCAUCACAUCUAGUAGGUGCCUCUAGGGAAGAUAACUGUAAUGAUCACAUGCCAACUAAUCCUCAUAACAGUUUGCUUAAGCUAUGUGAUGAUGCAGGACAAAAUAGUGAAGCCAAUGGUGGUCAUGGUGAAGAAAAUGGUGAAGAAACAGCUCCAAACGAGCCAUAUUUCAUGUGCAGGCCCUUGGGGAACAUAUCUUCCUCGGGAUCCGGGCCGCACCAGUCCUACAGGCGAUCUCCUUCAGGAUUGACGUCCUCUGCACCUACGCCUGACAACGACACGCCCGACAGCGCUCGGGUCGCCCGCCCUGACUCGGCAGCGCGCCACGCCUCCGACCAAUUAGCGGGCGCUGAUGGCCCGUGCCAAUCUCCGGGCCCCAAGCGGCAGCUGACGAGCCGCUUCCCCGAUCCGCCCACGUGCUACGCGCGGUGCCCGCGUCAGCCGACCGGCUCGGGGUCCCGUGCGGUGGACCACCCGAUCCACCCGACAGGCGCUGGAUCUCGCAUGGAUCCCGGUGACGCUCCUAGUGGGGGGCGAAUCUCCUGCUGCGGGCGGAUCUUCUGUGGCAGAUGGCGCCCCGUCAUCACACGCUGA
rnacentral:rRNA from 1 species